rnacentral:lncRNA from 1 species
AAGAAACAGAGAGCAAAACAAAACAGAGAAGGGAGAAAGAAAGAAACAGAGAGCAAAACGAAACAGAGAAGGAAGGAAGGAAAGAAAGAAAGAAAAGAAAAGAAAAAGGGAAAUUUGGGGUUUUAAGGUUCAAAGUAAUUUGAUCAAGAAGUACGAAACUCGAGGUUAGACAAAGGGAAGAAUAAAGUUGAAGACUAAGUUGGUGAAUUUGGCUAUAAUUUGUACCGAGGUAAGUUUACGGUAAAUAAAUGCAAUAUUUCAAUAUUUAUUAUUAAUGCUGUUAAUUUCCAGCAAUUAUGAAUUUAUUUGAUGAUGAUCCAAGCAUGAAAUGAUAGAGAAUAAAAAUUUAAAAGUCCCGUUGAUACAUAAGGAUGGUACUGGAUACGAAUGUCAUGACAUUUGGGUAAAGAGAUCCCAUGUAAGACCAUGUCUGGGACAUGGCAUUGGCAUCCUUAAGAUCAUGAGAGGUCCCCUGUAAGACCAUGUCUGGGACAUGGCAUGGGCACCGAGACGAGAGGUCCCAUGUAAGACCAUGUCUGGGACAUGGCGUUGGCACCGAGAUGAGAGGUCCCCUAUAAGACCAUGUCUGGGACAUGGCAUGGGCACCAUCACGAGAACAUCCCAUGUAAGACCAUGUCUGGGACAUGGCUUUGGCAUGUUAUUAUCAGAAGAGACCCGAGUAUCCUUAUUAUUCCAAUGUAGUUCAACGGGCUUGUAAACGAAUCAUGUUCAUGAAAGUUCAGUUUAAAGCAUAAAUGGCAAGCUCAGGUAAGUUGUAAGACUUAAGAACUUAUUAUACUAUCAAUUGAUGUUCAACGAUGCAGCAAGGAUUGAGUAAGUUAUGCACACAAAUAUUCUAAGUAAACAAGUAAGAGAACUAGUAUGAGAUUAACUAAAGAGUAAACUAGAGAUAUAGACAUUGAGUUUAAUUAUUUAAGUUAAAUAUUGUUAUUUAUUUGCUAGUAAACUUACUAAGCUUUAUGCUUACUUCUUUUAUUUCUCUUUCUCUUAUAGUAUUGCAAAGCUACUUCAAGGAUCCUAAAGAAGUCGGAGAUCGUCCACACUAUCAACUACAACUGCUCGGUAUUUUAUAUCGAAACACGUUUAAGUUAUGGCAUGUAUAGGGAUUUAGUUAUUUUGUAUGUUUGUAGUGAUGAUUUUGCUAAUGAGUGAUGUGUAAGUAUUUGAUGAUGUAUGAUUAUUAAAAUGAUUAAGGAUGAAGGUGUUUGUUGUUAUGAAAGAUUAGGUGAUAAAUUAUGCAUGGAAAUCAUGAAAGGAUAAAAUUUUGCAAAGAAACAGAAUUCAGGCAGCACAGUGACGUGAAUUUGAAAAAUCACCCAAGAUAGUAUAAAAUGAAUUAGAGGGUGAAUGAUAUAUGGAAUUAAAGCUUGUUGAGUCUAUUUUCAUGGAAAAAAACGGUGUAGAAAAAAAGAAAUUUAUAUUUUAAGAUAUGUGAAUUUUAGUAAGAUAGGGUCAGAACUGUUUUUUUGGAGUCCCCUGUUCUGAGUUUAGAAAAUAAUUACAAAUUGUACAAAAAUGUUUAUGAGUUGAAAUUUACAUGCUUAGAUUCCUUGAUGAGUCUAUUUUCUAUAGAAACAAGUAAUAACUUCAUAUGAAAAUCCUAUAGUGAGAAAACUUAUUUUUAGUGACUAGAGGUCAGGGCAGUCUGGUGGUGACACAGGGGAGACUUUAACUAAUAAACUGUACUAAUUUGCUAAACCAAAAAUUCUAAAAAUUUUAUGGUGAGUAGAUAUAUGAGUCUAGUUUCAGGGAAAAUUUACGGGAUUAAAUUUCGAGUUCUGUAGCUCAAGUUAUAAUUAAUUUAGUAACUGCUGCGCGAUUAGACAGAUUUGCUGCGAAUAAUGAAAUAAAUUUUCAAACCUAGUUUUUAUGCUCCGAAUUGGUAAGAUAAGAUAAGUAAUUGUAACAGCCCAAUUUUCAGUAGUGUCAGAACAGUGAUUUGAGAUCACUAAAUUCGAUGAAGAAGUUAGAAAUAUUUUUGAAUUAGUGAAUUUUGUGAUUUAAAAGAAAUUAUUAGGUAAAUUGGGUCGAAAACGAGGUAUCGAGACCUCGAUAUUAUAAACUGAGCCGUAAAUAUUUUUAUAAAUAUUUACGGAGUGUCAAUAGGAUAAUAUUAAAGUUUCGUUAAGAAAUUUUAAUGUUUCGAUAGUUAAUUAUGAAAAAGGAUUAAAUUGCAAUAGGGAUAAAAGUUUAAUUAUAGAUUAAAGAAAAGUUAAAAGGACCAAAUAGGCAAUUAUGCCUUUUUCUAAAGUUGAGGCGGCAUAAUGAAAGAAAUAUCUGAGAUAUUCUAGUUAAUAUAUAUUAUAUAUAUGUAAGUAAUGAUUAUUAUUAAUAUUUUAUAUUAUAUUAUAUUAUAUAUAUAUAACAAAAGAAAGAAUAGAAAUGAGAAAGAAAGAAACAGAGAGCAAAACGAAACAGAGAAGGGAGAAAGAAGAAAAAGAAAGAGCGACGGUUCAGGGGUUUCAAAACUUCUAAAUUCAAUUGGUAAGUCAAUUUAGUCCAUUUUUCUUAUGGUUUUGAUAUUUUUGGAAUCCUAGAGCAAGAUACUACUUGAUUUAAGUGGAAAUUUUGGAAGUUAGUAGGUUAUUAGAUGUUGUUCAUGUUGAAUUAAUUGAUGAAUUAGAUGUUAAAAUGAUUGAAUUUUAAGUUAAAAGUUAGUAAAAGGUUGAUUUGUAAAAUAAAACAUAAGUUUUGAAUUGAUAGGAAUUAAAUUGAAAGAAUCCCGAAAUUAGGGAUUUAUGGGGAAAUUGAAGAAUUAAACUGAGUUUAUAGUAAGAAUUAAGAGAGAAUAGAGUUAGAAUGCAAAAAUAAAAUUAGUAUUGAUAAGGGAUUAAAUUAGAAUUUGAUGUUGCCAUAGAAGGGAAAAAUGUUCAGAAUGUUAUAAAACAUAAGAAUAAGAGAUGAAGUUUAAUUUCCGAGCCUUGGGGCAAAAAUAUAAUUAUGUAAAAGUUUAGGGGCAAAAUUGUAAUUUUGAAAAAGUUAGAGUCGAGGGCUAUUUUGAUGAAUGUGAUUAUUAAAUAAGUUAAAUUUACUAUUUUAGAUCAAGAAGUACGAAACUCGAGGUUAGACAAAGGGAAGAAUAAAGUUGAAGACUAAGUUGGUGAAUUUGGCUAUAAUUGGUACCGAGGUAAGUUUACGGUAAAUAAAUGCAAUAUUUCAAUAUUUAUUAUUAAUGCUGUUAAUUUCCAGCAAUUAUGAAUUUAUUUGAUGAUGAUCCAAGCAUGAAAUGAUAGAGAAUUAAAAUUUAAAAGUCCCGUUGAUACAUAAGGAUGGUACUGGAUACGAAUGUCAUGACAUUUGGGUAAAGAGAUCCCAUGUAAGACCAUGUCUAGGACAUGGCAUUGGCAUCCUUAAGAUCAUGAGAGGUCCCCUGUAAGACCAUUCUGGGACAUGGCAUGGGCACCGAGACGAGAGGUCCCAUGUAAGACUAUGUCUGGGACAUGGCGUUGGCACCGAGAUGAGAGGUCCCCUAUAAGACCAUGUCUGGGACAUGGCAUGGGCACGAUCACGAGAACAUCCCAUGUAAGACCAUGUCUGGGACAUGGCUUUGGCAUGUUAUUAUCAGAAGAGACCCGAGUAUCCUUAUUAUUCCAAUGUAGUUCAACGGGCUUGUAAACGAAUCAUGUUCAUGAAAGUUCAGUUUAAAGCAUAAAUGGCAAGCUCAGGUAAGUUGUAAGACUUAAGAACUUAUUAUACUAUCAAUUGAUGUUCAACGAUGCAGCAAGGAUUGAGUAAGUUAUGCACACAAAUAUUCUAAGUAAACAAGUAAGAGAACUAGUAUGAGAUUAACUAAAGAGUAAACUAGAGAUAUAGACAUUGAGUUUAAUUAUUUAAGUUAAAUAUUGUUAUUUAUUUGCUAGUAAACUUACUAAGCUUUAUGCUUACUUCUUUUAUUUCUCUUUCUCUUAUAGUAUUGCAAAGCUACUUCAAGGAUCCUAAAGAAGUCGGAGAUCGUCCACACUAUCAACUACAAAUGCUCGGUAUUUUAUAUCGAAACACGUUUAAGUUAUGGCAUGUAUAGGGAUUUAGUUAUUUUGUAUGUUUGUAGUGAUGAUUUUGCUAAUGAGUGAUGUGUAAGUAUUUGAUGAUGUAUGAUUAUUAAAAUGAUUAAGGAUGAAGGUGUUUGUUGUUAUGAAAGAUUAGGUGAUAAAUUAUGCAUGGAAAUCAUGAAAGGAUAAAAUUUUGCAAAGAAACAGAAUUCAGGCAGCACAGUGACGUGAAUUUAAAAAAUCACCCAAGAUAGUAUAAAAUGAAUUAGAGGGUGAAUGAUAUAUGGAAUUAAAUCUUGUUGAGUCUAUUUUCAUGGAAAAAUAACGGUGUAGAAAAAAGAAAUUUAUAUUUUAAGAUAUGUGAAUUUUAGUAAGAUAGGGUCAGAACUGUUUUUUUGGAGUCCCCUGUUCUGAGUUUAGAAAAUAAUUACAAAUUGUACAAAAAUGGUUAUGAGUUUAAAUUUACAUGCUUAGAUUCCUUAAUGAGUCUAUUUUCUAUAGAAACAAGUAAGAACUUCAUAUGAAAAUCCUAUAGUGAGAAAACUUAUUUUUAGUGACUAAAGGUCAGGGCAGUCUGGUGGUGACACAGGG